GGGGAUUUAGCUCAGUGGUAGAGCCCUUGCCUAGGAAGCGCAAGGCCCUGGGUUCGAUCCCCAGCUCCG
rfam:Rattus norvegicus chromosome 5, whole genome shotgun sequence.